ACAAUGCUAACAAGGUUGGUUAUAUUAGGUAGGUUGAACUAUAGGUGAACGCAAAGUAGGGGGGAGAGAGCAACUUUAGUUUAUUUAUAAAGGUGGCUACUUAUUCGGUCACGUAAUCUCCUUCUAAGCUAUUGGGGUUGUUGUUCGGUACGAACUCGGGCAAUGCAUUGGUGCUUGGCUGAGAUGAGAUCUUCAGCCAACUGGGCAUGUUCGAGCACCUCGGCAUACGCUUGGGUCUCAGCAUCGCGACCCGUUCAUAGAUGUUGGCACAAAGGCCCUUGAAAAACUUCCUAACUUUUUGGCUCUCGGGGGUGACCAUUAGAGGUGCAAACCUAGACAAUUGAACAAAAUAGGCUGCAUACUAGAAAACUAUUAGACUCCCUUAGUGGAGGUCUUGAAAUUCCUCCU
rnacentral:lncRNA from 1 species